AGACAAACAAAAGCCCACGAAGAAGAAUCAGCGAGAGGGUGGAGGAGCUUUCCGACAUGGCAGACAGGUCUCAGCCACGUCAGAGGAGGUCUGGGUUGAGUUUCCUUCAUUUUGGAGCGUCCUCCUCAUGGUCUUCAGCCACCAGCCUGGUCUGCACCGUGGGAUGAGGUAGUAGGUUGUAUAGUUUUAGGGUCACACCCGCACUGGGAGAUAACUAUUCAACCUACUGUCUUUCUCAAGGUGCCACUCGUACGUCUGUGUAUUCUGGAGACCGUCCUCUUCUUCUACAUCUUUGUUUAAAUGCAUCCAGAUGUUGCUUCCAUCGGCCGUUUCUGCUCCAGCUGCUCACACAGUGUGAGGUAGUAGAUUGUAUAGUUUUAGGGUAGUUAUUUUGCCCUGUUUAGGAGAUAACUAUACAAUCUAUUGCCUUCCCUGAGGAGUGGAAUCUCUUCGUCUUGUGGUUCUAUAAAAAUGGUUCAUACGUCAUUUUUGAUUUCAGUUUUGUAAACAGCUGUAAUGGCUGAACUUUGACUAUAUUUCCACACUUCUAAAAGGAUGUGUGCUGAAGUCAGAUGUUUAGUAUAAAGUCUGUUGUUAUUGCAAUGUGCAGUGAUUAUUCAAAUGUUUAUCCCUCCAUUUUAUCAUUGUUGUAUUCCUUGCAGUUUCUAAAAACGGUUUUAGUUAAAACGGUAAAGUUUAAAGUAUCGUCACCGUGCAUUCAGAAUGGCUGCUAUAGUAGUUAUAAUGUGGGAUUAUUUCUGAUGCAACCCCAUGUAAGCAGCAUUUUAUCGUAGCUAAGGUGGACCUAUGUGUCAUUUUGCAAAGUUUAGCUUCUUGUGUGGACAUCUAGAUCAAGGACACUUGCUUCUAAAUUCCCGAGUACAAAAUUUUGUCCAUUUUUUUCGAGGUUUCGUUUUGUAAUUGUGCCUCUUGAUGACAGCUUGGAAACAACCGCUACAUACUGCACUGGUUCAUUCACUUCAGAUGAUGGUAGUUCUAUAGUUUUACCAGCAGAUGGUGUUAAAGUCCUUCUACAACCCAAUCCUUCCUCCAAACACAGAGCGCCACCAGGAAUCUUUAAUUGCACAUAAAUACUGAGAAAAUCUGUUCCUUAAUGAGUCUCUGCAGCUGUUGUGUAAUAAAUGUAUUAUUGUUGAACCAGACUGACACUUGGUGUUAAUAAAUAGAGCUUUCAUAAUA